rnacentral:rRNA from 1 species
GCAUAUCAAUAAGCGGAGGAAAAGAAACCAACCGGGAUUGCCUCAGUAACGGCGAGUGAAGCGGCAAGAGCUCAAAUUUGAAAUCUGGCCCCCUCGGGGUCCGAGUUGUAAUUUGCAGAGGAUGCUUCGGGUGCGGCCCCCGUCUAAGUGCCCUGGAACGGGCCGUCAUAGAGGGUGAGAAUCCCGUCUGGGACGGGGUGUCCGCGUCCGUGUGAAGCUCCUUCGACGAGUCGAGUUGUUUGGGAAUGCAGCUCUAAAUGGGUGGUAAAUUUCAUCUAAAGCUAAAUACUGGCCGGAGACCGAUAGCGCACAAGUAGAGUGAUCGAAAGAUGAAAAGCACUUUGAAAAGAGAGUUAAAAAGCACGUGAAAUUGUUGAAAGGGAAGCGCUUGCGACCAGACUCGCCCGCGGGGUUCAGCCGGCAUUCGUGCCGGUGUACUUCCCCGUGGGCGGGCCAGCGUCGGUUUGGGCGGCCGGUCAAAGGCCCCCGGAAUGUAGUGCCCUUCGGGGCACCUUAUAGCCGGGGGUGCAAUGCGGCCAGCCUGGACCGAGGAACGCGCUUCGGCACGGACGCUGGCAUAAUGGUUGUAAACGACCCGUCUUGAAACACGGACCAAGGAGUCUAACAUCUACGCGAGUGUUCGGGUGUCAAACCCGUGCGCGCAGUGAAAGCGAACGGAGGUGGGAGCCCCCUCGCGGGGCGCACCAUCGACCGAUCCUGAUGUCUUCGGAUGGAUUUGAGUAAGAGCGUAAAUGUGGGGACCCGAAAGAUGGUGAACUAUGCCUGAAUAGGGCGAAGCCAGAGGAAACUCUGGUGGAGGCUCGCAGCGGUUCUGACGUGCAAAUCGAUCGUCAAAUUUGGGUAUAGGGGCGAAAGACUAAUCGAACCAUCUGGUAGCUGGUUCCUGCCGA